GAGGCGCCGAGCGCGGCAGCCGCUGACAGCUCCGCAAUAUGGCGGCGGCGGCGCCGUUCAGAUUUUCCCCCCUAUCAGAUUUUGCGGCUCGGGACGCGGCGCGCGUGCGUGGAGGGGAACGCGCGUGCGCGCUGGGCGGCACGAAGCCGCUGCCCGGAGCCCCGGCGGAGGGGCGCGGGGUUUCGGAGGCGCGGAGGGAGCCGCGCGCCGUACUGCGGCUCCGAGGGCGGAGUGUCCCGCUGCCUCGGGGCUCGGUGGAGGGGUUGCGCUUGGCGAGGGGGGUCGGAAGGCGUCCGGGAGUAAAACUCGAAAAGCGUCGGCCCGCUUAAGUGAAGCGAUGAGGGGAGGCGGCUCGCGCGCGGGUUCGGCCGUCGGCCGGCCCUGAGGGGAAUGGCACAGGCGUGCCCGGGCGGGAGUGGGGCAGCCGCGUGCUGUGGCACGAAUGGGCGGGCGGGGAGCGCGGGGCCCUGCGGAGGGGGAGCGCCGAGCCCCUGCGUGCCGCCCUGCCCUCGUGUGCCGGGGGAGAUCAUCGCGACUAAUACGUCGCUCUCAGAUGGUUUCACGCGUCUUGGCUGUUCCGCAGUCAUCGCCGCAGGACCCGAGUGUCUCGGUUUAUUAAACGCGUUCGAUUUUCUCCCAUGGGCUGAAAUUUCCUUGGGGUAACCCCUUCUGUCUGCUGUUUGUGCUUGUUCUCAUGAGCGGCCAGGUUGAAAACGGAGUGCUUUGCUGCACGUUGAACUUCGAAGUGCCUCGUAUCCUCCACAGGUACCACAGCACACACUUCCCUCUCGGGUGGCCCGCGAGAGCCGGUGGAAAUGAAUAAGCUCUUCGGUGGAAAGCCAGACCCAAUCUCAAUCAGUACCUAAAGACAGGAGCUUUGGUUUGAACCAGAAACCGUGAUUCAGCGCAGAGCAGAUAACGUGUUUAUUUUAGCUGACUGAAUUUGGGACUGGCUUUUCCUCCAGAACAGUCCCUUGUCAGCUGGCUCAGAUUUGUGCCAUCAGCUGCAUAGAAGUGUGGUUCUGCCCAUAUCUCGCCACUAACGUGAGAAGUUAUACAUGGAUUUGUCUGCAAGUCUGGAACCCAGCCACUCUUUCUGGGAAAAUGUGUGCCUAUGACUCAGUACGCACAUACUUAUCUAUUAAUAUGUUUGCAGAAGCAGACUUCACAUCAUAAAAAAAUAUUGCAGGGUAACUCAACUAUUACUAAUUGUAUGGCCUAAAACCAAAUUGUUUAAUACUUCGUUAAUAUUUGAAUACAACGGGAUAUUUUAUUUUAAUGCACAUUGAUAAUGUUUCUUUUUUCAACAACUAUUGCCCCUUUGAGUUUCUGCUAGAAAGAAAUGGAACUGAAGGAAUUUUGUGGUCAUUAGAUGAAUCCAAUUCAGAGAUAUUUAAAAUAUUUGGAUAUAUUACAGUAAAUGGUGAGAUGUUAAGUUUGUCUGUCAUUUAAAGUUAAAUGUAUCUAAUUCCAGAAAGUACCAAAUUUCAAUAAAUGUAUAAGGAUUCCAGUAA